AACUUUGAAGACUGAAGUGGGGAAAGGUUCCAUGUGAACAGCACUUGGACAUGGGUUAGUCGAUCCUAAGAGAUGGGGAAGCCUUGUAUCAAGGGUGCACUAUGCACGGACAUCGAAAGGGAAUCGGGUUAAUAUUCCCGAACCGGGACAUGGUGGCGGACGACAACGUUAGGAAAUCUGGAGACGUCAUCGGGGGCCCCGGGAAGAGUUAUCUUUUAUUUUUAACAGCUUUCCCAUCCUGAAAUCAGCUCAACCGGAGAUAAGGUCCAACAGCUGGAAGAGAAUCACAUGUCUUGCGGUGUCCAGUGCACUCUUGGCGGCCCUUGAAAAUCUGGAGGACCGAGUACCGUCCAUGCCCGGUCGUACUCAUAACCGCAUCAGGUCUCCAAGGUGAACAACCUCUGGUCAAUAGAACAAUGUAGGUAAGGGAAGUCAGCAAAACGGAUCUGUAACUUCCGGAAAAGGAUUGGCUCUGAGGGAUGGGCCUAGGGGUCUGUGUCCUCAACCCAUGGGUUGUCGACAGUCUGCCUGAGCUGCUAUCGCAACGAGGGCGGGCAUUCACGUGUCGAUUAGGCUACGGACGUAGAAUUUCCUCUCGUGGGGGAUUUUCCCUAGGAGGCGAAAAAUCGACUUAGAACUUGUACGGACAAGGGGAAUCUGACUGUUUAAUUAAAAAAAAGCAUUGCAAUGGUCCCUGUGGAUGCUAACGCAAUGUGAUUUCUGCCCAGUGCUCUGAAUAUCAAAGUGAAUAAAUUCAGCCAAGCACAGGUAAACGGCGAGAGUAACUAUGACUCUCUUAAGGUAGCCAAAUGCCUCAUCAUCUAAUUAGUGACGCGCAUGAAUGGAUUAAUGAUAUUCCCACUGUCCCUAUCUACUAUCUAGUGAAACCACAGCCAAGGGAACGAGCUUGGUAGAAUCAGCGGGGAAAGAAGACCCUGUUGAGCUUGACUCUAGUCCAACUUUGUGAAAUGACUUGAGAGGUGUAGAAUAAGUGGGAGCCGUUUUCGACACAAGUGAAAUACCACUACUUUUAACGUUAUUUUACUUAUUUCAUGGGGCAGAAACGGGGCAUUUCCCCUGUUUUUGGCCCUAAGAUCAGCUCAACGAGAACAAAAAUCUCGUGUGGAACAAAAGGGUAAAAGCUCAUUUGAUUUUGAUUUUCAGUACGAAUACAAACCGUGAAAGCAUGGCCUAUCGAUCCUUUA
rnacentral:ncRNA from 1 species